rnacentral:tRNA from 1 species
CGUUGAGCUGGGCGACGCGCUGUUCGGCUCGUGCCUGGGCCAGGGCGGCCAGUUCGGUAUCGACCUUGGCGGC